CUGAGCCGCCGCCGAGGACUCAGCAGCCUCCCCCUUGAGCCCCCUCGCUUCCCGACGUUCCGUUUCCCCCCUGCCCGCCUUCUCCCGCCACCGCCGCCGCCGCCUUCCGCAGGCCGUUUCCACCGAGGAAAAGGAAUCGUAUCGUAUGUCCGCUAUCCAGAACCUCCACUCUUUCGACCCCUUUGCUGAUGCAAGUAAGGGUGAUGACCUGCUUCCUGCUGGCACUGAGGAUUAUAUCCAUAUAAGAAUUCAACAGAGAAACGGCAGGAAGACCCUUACUACUGUCCAAGGGAUCGCUGAUGAUUACGAUAAAAAGAAACUAGUGAAGGCGUUUAAGAAAGUAGGUCUUCAGUGAGAUUGUGGGAAAGUCAUAAUGGAUUUGUCCACAAGGGGGUGCCAGCUGUGUUGUAUGUAUUGUUAGCGGAAGGGGUGAUAAAUGCGUUCAUGCUCUUGCUAGGCCUAAUUCGUUUUGUUUCCUUUGUGCUUGCAGAAGUUUGCCUGCAAUGGUACUGUAAUUGAGCAUCCGGAAUAUGGAGAAGUAAUUCAGCUACAGGGUGACCAACGCAAGAACAUAUGCCAGUUCCUCGUAGAGAUUGGACUGGCUAAGGACGAUCAGCUGAAGGUUCAUGGGUUUUAAGUGCUUGUGGCUCACUGAAGCUUAAGUGAGGAUUUCCUUGCAAUGAGUAGAAUUUCCCUUCUGUCCCUUGUCACAAGUUUAAAAACCUCACAGCUUGUAUAAUGUAACCAUUUGGGGUCCGCUUUUAACUUGGACUAGUGUAACUCCUUCAUGCAAUAAACUGAAAAGAGCCAUGCUGUCUAGUCUUGAAGUCCCUCAUUUAAACAGAGGUCAAGCAAUAGGCGCCUGGCAGUGUCAAGCCUGAAACCAAGCAAUACCGUCAUGUUUCAGCCAAGCCCAGAGCCCUAAGAUUACAAACAACUAUGGCCGGAACCUCCUCAGCUCUCCCUCUGCAGAGUUCCCUACCCUAAGAGAAUGUUACCACCCGAACAGUCCUCGGUGAAUCUGAGAGGAGAGGAUGGGGUAAGGCAGAAGCACCAGCUGUACUACUAGAAGGGAGCUUUUGGUGGUAGAUCCCCUGGUGUCUCCAACCUGACUAGGUGGACAGAGCUCAAAGGAGGCCCUCUUCCCGCUAGCGAGGUGAUAGGACAUCUGGCUUGCCACAAAGGUCUGUUUGACCAGACAUAUCCUAGCUAAGGGAUGUCCAAACAUCAGAAUGUGAGGCCAACCUUCUAUCAGAGUUAAACUUUUGACAAGGGAACAAAUCUCAAACUGAUCCAUCAGUCAUGUAGCUAGCUGUAGAGCUUGCAACUUAAUAGCAGCAGCUGCCCAAUGCCAUGUGAAGUAACAAACUGGUUUUUGGUUUUUUUUCCCCUUCAGUUUUAAUGUUAUGUGUAAUGUAUUUAAACCCUUAUUU
rnacentral:sRNA from 1 species